rnacentral:rRNA from 1 species
AUGAUUUCUGGAAAGAAAUCAGCCGCAUGGAUCGUGCGACGCGCGUCCUUGUUGGGCCCGUGCACCGACCAGCCUUAUCUAGACUCAACGGCAGCCACACGUUCUAUUCCGUACCCGAGCGACCUUAUCGAUCCCCUUCGUCUCCAACCUGCGCCUCCUUCUCUCACAAUCUUCGCGUUGAUCUCGUCGGAGCAACCAGGGACGGCAUUGCAGCCCCCAAAAAACCAACGACAUGCAGUAGCCCAGCAGACGGCGACCUGUAGCAUUCGCGCGCGGCCCUGCUGCGGACGGUGUUGCCGAGCGCCGCGAGCGGGAGCGCCUGGUGCGCCGCCGUUGUUGCAGAGCACGCCAGAGAAUCGCGUGCGCCCGCCGGUGCUGCGUUGGAGCAUCACCGACACUGCAACGACGACCGCGACGGCCAUGGCGUUUGCAACUCCGGCGCUGCAAUGGAGCUUCGCCGGUGCUGCGAGCCUGCGACGACGACCAUGGCGGGCCGGCCAUGGCGUUACAACGGAGCUUCGCCGGUGCUACAAUGACGACCGUGACGGGCCGGCCAUGGCGUUGCAACGGAGCUUCGCCGGUGCUACGACGACGGCCGCGACGGGACGGCCAUGGCGUUGCAAUGGAGUUUCGCCGGCUGCCUUGGAGCUUUACCACAGGCGCUGCAAUGGAGCUUCGCCGGGGCUGCAAUGGAGCACCACCGAAGCUUCCGGCUGCAAUGGAGAACCACCAGGGCUGUGGAAGCUGUGA